rnacentral:rRNA from 1 species
UGCGCAGGUGGGCUUGUAAGUCAGUGGUGAAAUCUCUCGGCUCAACCGGGAAACUGCCAUUGAUACUGUUAGUCUUGAGUUCGGUUGAGGUAGGCGGAAUGUGUAAUGUAGCGGUGAAAUGCUUAGAUAUUACACAGAACACCAAUUGCGUAGGCAGCUUACUAGACCGACACUGACGCUGAGGCACGAAAGCGUGGGGAGCGAACAGGAUUAGAUACCCUGGUAGUCC